ACUCCUACGGGAGGCAGCAGUGGGGAAUAUUGCACAAUGGGGAAACCCUGAUGCAGCCAUGCCGCGUGUGUGAAGAAGGCCUCGGUUGUAAAGCACUUUCAGUAGGGAGGAAGGUAGUGUAGUUAACACCUGCACUAUUUGACGUUACCUACAGAAGAAGCACCGGCUAACUCCGUGCCAGCAGCCGCGGUAAUACGGAGGGGUGCGAGCGUUAAUCGGAAUUACUGGGCGUAAAGCGCAUGCAGGCGGCCUGUUAAGUCAGAUGUGAAAGCCCGGGGGCUUAACCUCGGAAUUGCAUUUGAAACUGGCAGGCUAGAGUCUUGUAGAGGGGGUAGAAUUUCAGGUGUAGCGGUGAAAUGCGUAGAGAUCUGAAGGAAUACCAGUGGCGAAGGCGGCCCCCUGGACAAAGACUGACGCUCAGAUGCGAAAGCGUGGGGAGCAAACAGGAUUAGAUACCCUGGUAGACUGUCA
rnacentral:rRNA from 1 species